rnacentral:rRNA from 1 species
ACUGAGCGGAAGCGUAUUCGUAAACGCUGCCCCGGAACUCCCCAUUUCCUUAUUAAGAGAUGGCACCCUAUGGGCAGCCCAGCUUCACGGGGAUGAAGACGAAGACUACAUCGAAAAAAUCCAGAAUAUGACUGGAAAGCCCGUCAUCAAGGCCUUUUCCAUAAAAACACCCGAAGAUGUUCAGCGGGCUCUUCGAAGCCCUGCCGACUACAUCCUCUUAGAUCAGGGCGCAGGAGGAACCGGCGAACCUUUCGACUGGACCCUGGUUCCCCCAGUCCGCCGCCCAUUCUUCCUUGCCGGAGGAAUCGGUCCCGAAAACCUCCGCAGCGCCAUCGGAACCUUACACCCAUGGGCUGUAGACCUGAGCAGCAGCCUGGAAACCGAUGGAAGAAAAGACCGGGCGAAAAUCCAGCAGAUUGCCCGUAUGCUGAAGCAGAUUAAUACACUGGAAGCAUACAGAAAAGAGCGAGAAGCAGAUUUAGAGUGAAGAGUGAAGAAAGUAAUUCAUAUACAAAACAGCGAAACGAAAGGAAACAACGCUAUGUCAAACGGAAGAUUUGGAAUCCACGGCGGCCAGUAUAUCCCCGAAACCCUGAUGAACGCGGUGCACGAAUGGCGUAACGACUUCCCCACUGUCUCGACCAGGAGCUCGGCGAAAUUGCAGUACGAGUAAAGAUGCUCGUUAAGCGCAGAAGGACGAAAAGACCCCGGGACCUUUACUAUACCUUGGUAUUGGCGUUAGGCGCGGAUUGUGUAGCAUAGGCGGGAGGCUUCGAAGCGUGGGCGCCAGCCCGUGUGGAGCCGCAAGGUGAAAUACCGCUCUGUUCUCGUUUGACGUCUCACCUCGAACAGUCAUCCUGUUCAGGGACAGUGCCUGGCGGGUAGUUUAACUGGGGCGGUUGCCUCCCAAAGAGUAACGGAGGCGCUCAAAGGUCCGCUCAGCCCGGUUGGCAAUCGGGUUUCGAGUGUAAUCGCACAAGCGGGCUUGACUGCGAGAACGACGGUUCGGGCAGGGACGAAAGUCGGAGAUAGUGAUCCGGUGCCGGCGCACGGGCGCGGCAUCGCUCAACGGAUAAAAGGUACCCCGGGGAUAACAGGCUGAUCAUUCCCAAGAGUCCAUAUCGACGGGAUGGUUUGGCACCUCGAUGUCGGCUCGUCGCAUCCUGGGGCUGGAGCAGGUCCCAAGGGUUCGGCUGUUCGCCGAUUAAAGCGGCACGCGAGCUGGGUUCAGAACGUCGUGAGACAGUUUGGUCUCUAUCCUCUGCGCUCGUUGGAAUCCUGAGGAGGCCUGCCCAUAGUACGAGAGGACCUGGGUGGACGGACCUCUGGUAUGCCGGUUGUCGCGCCAGCGGCAUGGCCGGUUGGCUACGUUCGGGAGGGAUAACCGCUGAAAGCAUCUAAGCGGGAAGCCUGCUCCAAGAUUAGGAUUCCUUGACGCUCCCCGGAGCGUCCGAAGCCCGCAUGUGGAACACGUGUUCGAUAGGCCGGAGGUGGAAGCCCCGCGAGGGGUGGAGCCGACCGGUACUAACGGGCGAACGCGGCACAC